rnacentral:rRNA from 1 species
UACGUAGGCGCAAGGCGUUAUCCGGAAUUAUUGGGUGCGUAAAGAGCUCGUAGGCGGUUUGUCGCGUCUGCCGUGAAAGUCCGGGGCUCAACUCCGGAUCUGCGGUGGGUACGGGCAGACUAGAGUGAUGUAGGGGAGACUGGAAUUCCUGGUGUAGCGGUGAAAUGCGCAGAUAUCAGGAGGAACACCGAUGGCGAAGGCAGGUCUCUGGGCAUUAACUGACGCUGAGGAGCGAAAGCGUGGGAGCGAU